rnacentral:tRNA from 2 species
UGAAAUAGCUCAGCUGGUAGAGCAGCUCCCUCGUAAAGAGCAGGUCGGGGGUUCGAAUCCCUUUUUCAGC